GCUUGGGUAGCUCAGUUGGUAGAGCACUUGCCCGUGAAAGGCAAAGGUCCCGAGUUCGAGUCUCGGUCCGACACA
rnacentral:tRNA from 1 species